UUGACUCUAAAACGGUCUUGGAAUAAGGGUGGGUAAGGACGGUGCCAGCCGCCGCGGUAAUACCGGCGCCUCAAGUGGUCGUCGCUUUUAUUGGGCCUAAAACGUCCGUAGCCGGUUUGGUACAUUCGUGGGUAAAUCAGCUCGCUCAACGAGCUGAAUUCUGCGAGCACGGCCAGACUAGGGACCGGGAGAGGUGUGGGGAACUCUCAGGGUAGGGGUAAAAUCCAGUCAUCCUGAGAGGACCACCUGUUGCGAAGGCGCCACACUAGAACGGAUCCGACGGUCAGGGACGAAACCUAGGGGCACGAACCGGAUUAGAUACCCGGGUAGUCCUAGGUGUAAACGCUGUGGACUUGAUGUUGGGGGCGCUCCGAGCGCUUUCAGUGUCGAAGCGAAGGUGAUAAGUCCACUGCCUGGGGAGUACGGUCGCAAGGCUGAAACUUAAAGGAAUUGGCGGGGGAGCACUGCAACCUGAGGAUUGUGCGGUUUAAUUGGAUUCAACGCCGGGAAUC
rnacentral:rRNA from 1 species